rnacentral:rRNA from 1 species
CUGCAGCCGCGGGAAUACGGAGGGUGCAAGCGUUAAUCGGAAUUACUGGGCGUAAAGCGCACGCAGGCGGUCUGACAAGUCAGAUGUGAAAUCCCCGGGCUUAACCUGGGAACUGCAUUUGAAACUGUCAGGCUGGAGUCUUGUAGAGGGGGGUAGAAUUCCAGGUGUAGCGGUGAAAUGCGUAGAGAUCUGGAGGAAUACCGGUGGCGAAGGCGGCCCCCUGGACAAAGACUGACGCUCAGGUGCGAAAGCGUGGGGAGCAAACAGGAUUAGAUACCCCUGUAGUCCCUGUCUCUUAUAA